AUAGGGAAAAGUAUCUUAAUAUUGGUCCAGGCAGUGAUUUUUCAGAUAACAUCCUCAAAGCAAAAAUAAACAAGUGGCAUUGCAGAAAAUUAAAAUGCUGUGCAACAAAAAAAACAAUCAACACAAUGGAGAGACAACCUAUGGAAUGGGAGAAAAUGCUUACAAAACAUACAUCUGGCUAAGGGUUCAUGUGCAAAAUACAUAAGGAACUCGAAACAUCUCAACAGCAAAAAUCCUGAUUUUUAAAUGGGCAGAGGAACUGAAGAGAUAGUGCUCAAAGGAAGACAGAUAAAUAAUCAUCAGGUAUACAGAUGAUCAACAUCACUAAUCAACAGGGAAAUCAGAAUCAAAAUAUAAUGAGAUAUCACCUUAUACCUAUCAGAAU
rnacentral:lncRNA from 1 species